GCCUGGGUGGCUCAGUUGGUUAAGCGUCUGCCUUCGGCUCAGAUCAUGAUCUGACAGUUCAUGGGUUCGAGCCCUGUGUCAGGCU
rnacentral:tRNA from 1 species